UACGAACUGUGCAAACGUUAUUCGGAAUCACUGGGCUUACAGGGUGCGUAGGCGGCUUGCUAAGUAGGGUGUGAAAGCCCCCGGCUUAACCGGGGAAUGGCGCCCUAAACUGGCGAGCUGGAGUGAGAUAGGGGUGUGCGGAACUUCCGGUGGAGCGGUGAAAUGUGUUGAUAUCGGAAGGAACGCCGGUGGCGAAAGCGGCACACUGGAUCUCAACUGACGCUGAGGCACGAAAGCGUGGGGAGCGAACAGG
rnacentral:rRNA from 1 species